CUUGAUCGAACCGAUGUGCAGCGGGCGGUCGGCCGGGCGGUCCUGGCCGUAGGUGGCGAGCACGGCCUGCGCCUC
rfam:Frankia sp. EI5c TG55_1033, whole genome shotgun sequence.